AGAGUUUGAUCAUGGCUCAGGAUGAACGCUGGCGGCGUGCUUAACACAUGCAAGUCGAACGAUGAACCUCACUUGUGGGGGGAUUAGUGGCGAACGGGUGAGUAACACGUGAGUAACCUGCCCUCGGCUCUGGGAUAAGCCUGGGAAACUGGGUCUAAUACCGGAUAUGACUGAUCAUCGCAUGGUGGUUGGUGGAAAGCUUUUGCGGUUUUGGAUGGACUCGCGGCCUAUCAGCUUGUUGGUGGGGUAAUGGCCUACCAAGGCGACGACGGGUAGCCGGCCUGAGAGGGUGACCGGCCACACUGGGACUGAGACACGGCCCAGACUCCUACGGGAGGCAGCAGUGGGGAAUAUUGCACAAUGGGCGCAAGCCUGAUGCGGCGACGCCGCGUGAGGGAUGACGGCCUUCGGGUUGUAAACCUCUUUCAGUAGGGAAGAAGCGUAAGUGACGGUACCUGCAGAAGAAGCGCCGGCUAACUACGUGCCAGCAGCCGCGGUAAUACGUAGGGCGCAAGCGUUAUCCGGAAUUAUUGGGCGUAAAGAGCUCGUAGGCGGUUUGUCGCGUCUGCCGUGAAAGUCCGGGGCUCAACUCCGGAUCUGCGGUGGGUACGGGCAGACUAGAGUGAUGUAGGGGAGACUGGAAUUCCUGGUGUAGCGGUGAAAUGCGCAGAUAUCAGGAGGAACACCGAUGGCGAAGGCAGGUCUCUGGGCAUUAACUGACGCUGAGGAGCGAAAGCAUGGGGAGCGAACAGGAUUAGAUACCCUGGUAGUCCAUGCCGUAAACGUUGGGCACUAGGUGUGGGGGACAUUCCACGUUUUCCGCGCCGUAGCUAACGCAUUAAGUGCCCCGCCUGGGGAGUACGGCCGCAAGGCUAAAACUCAAAUGAAUUGACGG
rnacentral:rRNA from 1 species